AAAGGAAUUGACGGGGGCCCGCACAAGCGGAGGAGCAUGUGGCUUAAUUCGAUGCAACGCGAAGAACCUUACCUGGGCUUGACAUGCAGCUGCACGGCCGGUGAAAGCCGGCCCCCUUCGAGGGUGCUGCACAGGUGCUGCAUGGCUGUCGUCAGUUCGUGCCGUGAGGUGUUUGGUUAAGUCCACCAACGAACGCAACCCCUGCGUCCAGUUGCCAUCGGGUCGUGCCGGGAACUCUGGACGGACCGCCCCUUCAAACGGGAGGAAGGUGGGGACGACGUCAAGUCAGUAUGGCCCUUACGCCCAGGGCCGCACACGUGCUACAAUGGCCGGCACAGAGGGACGCGAGACCGCGAGGUGGAGCAAACCCCCAAAACCGGCCCCAGUUCGGAUUGGAGUCUGCAACCCGACUCCAUGAAGUUGGAUUCGCUAGUAACGGCGCAUCAGCAAGUGGCGCCGUGAAUACGUUCCCGGGCCUUGUACACACCGCCCGU
rnacentral:rRNA from 1 species